AAGAGCCGUGUAACGGGAGACUGUUACGCACGGUUCUGUGAGGGCCGGGAGGUGAGAUCCCUCCCGGCUACUCGAC
rnacentral:ncRNA from 1 species